GACGAACGCUGGCGGCAUGCCUAAUACAUGCAAGUUGAACGAUGAUAUUCUCUGCUUGCGGAGAAUUGAAGAGUAGCGAACGGGUGAGUAACACGUGGGGAACCUGCCCAUGAGAGGGGGAUAACAUUCGGAAACGGAUGCUAAUACCGCAUAAUGCUUUGGACCGCCUGGUCCAGAGACGAAAGACGGCUUUUGCUGUCACUCAUGGAUGGCCCCGCGCCGUAUUAGCUAGUUGGUGAGGUAAUGGCUCACCAAAGCUGUGAUACGUAGCCGACCUGAGAGGGUGAUCGGCCACACUGGGACUGAGACACGGCCCAGACUCCUACGGGAGGCAGCAGUAGGGAAUCUUCCACAAUGGGCGAAAGCCUGAUGGAGCAAUGCCGCGUGAAUGAAGAAGGUCUUCGGAUCGUAAAGUUCUGUUAUUAGAGAAGAACAAGUCAAGGAGUAACUGUCUUGACUUUGACGGUACCUAACCAGAAAGUCACGGCUAACUACGUG
rnacentral:rRNA from 1 species